AGAGUUUGAUCCUGGCUCAGGAUGAACGCUGACAGAAUGCUUAACACAUGCAAGUCUUUGGCGAAGCUGUGCUUGCACAGCCUAGCCAAGGCGGACGGGUGAGUAACGCGUAAGGAACUUGCCCUGCAGUCAGGGAUAACAGACGGAAACGACUGAUAAGACCUGGUAAAGUCAGGCGGACUCAUGUCCAGCCUGAUGAAAAGAGAUGCUGCAGGAGAGCCUUGCGUCCUAUUAGCUUGUUGGUGGGGUAACGGCCCACCAAGGCGAUGAUAGGUAGCCGGCCUGAGAGGGUGGACGGCCACAAGGGGACUGAGAUACGGCCCUUACUCCUACGGGAGGCAGCAGUGGGGAAUAUUGGACAAUGGGGGCAACCCUGAUCCAGCAAUUCUGUGUGCACGAAGAAGGUUUUCGGAUUGUAAAGUGCUUUCAGCAGGGAAGAAAAAAAUGACGGUACCUGCAGAAGAAGCGACGGCUAAAUACGUGCCAGCAGCCGCGGUAAUACGUAUGUCGCAAGCGUUAUCCGGAAUUAUUGGGCAUAAAGGGCAUCUAGGCGGCCAGAUAAGUCUGGGGUGAAAACUUGCGGCUCAACCGCAAGCCUGCCCUGGAAACUAUGUGGCUAGAGUACUGGAGAGGUGGACGGAACUGCACGAGUAGAGGUGAAAUUCGUAGAUAUGUGCAGGAAUGCCGAUGAUGAAGAUAGUUCACUGGACGGUAACUGACGCUGAAGUGCGAAAGCUAGGGGAGCAAACAGGAUUAGAUACCCUGGUAGUCCUAGCUGUAAACGAUGAUUACUGGGUG
rnacentral:rRNA from 1 species